GCGCCUGUGGGCAGCGUUACGAGGCCCCGCCUUGGCGCCAUUUUGGAGUGGCGGCGAGCUGAGCCGGGCCGCGAUCCGUUCCGUUCUGUGUUCUUCCUUCUGUCCUGUCCUUCCUCCGCCAUGAGUGUGGUGGAACACGUACGGGAAAUGGCCUCCGCCGGGCUCCACUCCAACGUGCGGCUCCUCAGCGGGCUUCUCCUAACCAUGAGCGGCAACAACCCGGAGCUGUUUUCACCAUCUCAGAAGUACCAACUCCUCGUGUACCACGCAGACUCUCUUUUCCACGACAAAGAAUAUAGAAAUGCCGUGAGCAAGUAUACGAUGGCUUUGCAGCAGAAGAAAGCAUUGAGUAAAACCUCCAAAGUGAGGCCUUCUACUGGGAACGCUGCAUCAACUCCUCAGAGCCAGUGUUUACCGUCUGAAAUUGAAGUAAAAUAUAAAAUGGCUGAAUGUUACACCAUGCUGAAGCAAGAUAAAGAUGCUAUUGCCAUUCUGGAUGGGAUUCCUUCCAGACAGAGGACCCCAAAGAUCAAUAUGAUGCUGGCAAAUCUAUACAAGAAAGCAGGUCAAGAACGCUCCUCUGUUACAAGCUACAAGGAAGUACUGAGGCAGUGCCCGUUAGCACUUGAUGCCAUACUAGGUUUGCUGUCGCUGUCAGUGAAGGGUGCAGAAGUGGCCUCUAUGACAAUAAAUAUCAUUCAGAGCAUUCCAAACUUGGACUGGCUUUCAGUGUGGAUCAAGGCAUAUGCGUUUGUGCAUACUGGAGAUAACACUAGAGCCAUCAAUACAAUUUGCUCUUUAGAGAAAAAGUCACUGCUGAGGGAUAAUGUAGAUCUACUGGGGAGCUUAGCAGACCUGUAUUUCAGAGCUGGAGAUAAUAAAAACUCUAUUCUAAAAUUUGAACAAGCUCAAAUGCUGGAUCCUUACCUAAUAAAAGGAAUGGAUGUGUAUGGCUAUUUGUUGGCACGGGAAGGUCGACUGGAGGAUGUAGAAAACUUAGGCUGCCGUCUCUUCAAUAUUUCAGAUCAACACGCAGAACCCUGGGUAGUGUCUGGGUGUCAUAGUUUUUAUAGUAAACGAUACUCCCGUGCCUUAUAUUUAGGAGCCAAAGCUAUCCAGCUUAAUAGCAACAGUGUUCAAGCUCUGUUGCUGAAGGGAGCUGCCCUCAGGAAUAUGGGCCGAGUACAGGAAGCAAUCAUACACUUCCGUGAAGCGAUACGUCUUGCACCUUGCAGGUUGGAUUGCUAUGAGGGUCUCAUUGAAUGUUACCUGGCAUCUAACAGUAUCCGGGAAGCUAUGGUUAUGGCAAAUAACGUGUAUAAAACUCUGGGAGCAAAUGCACAGACGCUCACUCUGUUAGCAACAGUCUGCCUUGAAGACCCAGUCACACAGGAGAAAGCAAAAACAUUACUGGACAAAGCACUGACACAAAGACCUGAUUACAUUAAAGCUGUGGUAAAGAAAGCAGAACUUCUUAGUAGAGAGCAGAAGUAUGAAGAUGGAAUUGCUUUGCUGAGGAAUGCACUGGCUAAUCAGAGUGACUGUGUUCUGCAUCGAAUACUGGGAGACUUCCUUGUAGCUGUCAAUGAGUACCAGGAAGCAAUGGACCAGUACAGUAUUGCCCUAAGCUUGGAUCCAAAUGAUCAGAAGUCACUAGAAGGAAUGCAGAAAAUGGAAAAAGAGGAAAGUCCAACAGAUGCAACCCAGGAAGAAGAUGUGGAUGAUAUGGAGGGAAGUGGAGAAGAGGGGGACUUGGAAGGCAGUGACAGUGAGGCAGCCCAGUGGGCAGAUCAAGAGCAGUGGUUUGGCAUGCAGUGAUGGCUGCUCUCCCCAGUGCUUGAUUUGGCACAUGAGAACAUCAGUAGGGCCAUUCCUUUCUGAACUCUGAUCUUUGCAGGAACUGAAGACUCUUUUUUAUCUUUUUUUUUUUUUUUUUUUUUAAUUUAAUAGAACUAUUAAAUGGUUUCAGUCUAUGCAUCUCAGUGCCAUGAAGAUUCUUGAUGCUUCUUAUUUAUUAAGCAUAAGAGAUUAACUGCAGUUAAUCAAACCAAAAGCAUUAGAAUCUAAGGUUUCUGUAAGCCUGCUGUUUAUGAUGAAAGCUGUCGUGUUGAGGGCUAAGUGUGCUUUAUCAAUUUGUAAAUAGUAUUUUGGUAUAUGCCUUUGUAAAAAAGGUCUUCUUCCCUUGUUUGUAAGCAGCGAUUUGGGCUCACACUCCUGAUGAAGUCUGGAGGAGUCACUUGGCUGUGGCUGAAAGCAGCACUUCUUACUCGCUGUGUUGGUUUAAUUACUGUCUUUUUACAAGGCAUUGCAUGUGGUGUAAAGAAGUUUGGCACCCCAGGCAGCUUUGAGCUAGAGGACACUUUUGUAGCUGAUUGAUUUCUAUGUGUACAGAGUCAAACCAGCCCUUAUUAAACCUUAUAAUCUGUCUGUACAUAAACAUUUUUAAAUGCAGUUGAGUUUUACUUCAGUGUGUUACUAAAGGCUUUUACAGCAGUGACUCAAAGCACUUCAUGUUCUGCAUACAGGAGGUAUAAGAAUUCAUCCUAUUCCACUUGCUUCUCUGCAAAAACGUACAAAUAUAUAUCAGCUUGUUUUUGUCAUAUAUAUACUUUUUGUCAGAUAGUAUUUGAAUUCACGUUAUCAUUUCAACACCAUCUCUUUGAGGGUGAUCUUUGUUUCAGUUCUGUGGGCUCAGUGUGUAGGAGGAGGAAUUACUUUGUGCUGUUACAUUUCUUACCAUUCUGUUUUCCUUACUAUUUCCUUAAACAUCUCUUUACAUUGCCAGUUUAAUCUCUUUCACAUUUAUCCUGUACCCGCAGUUAUGCUGGAGCAGAUGGACCUUAAUGCAGGGCUAAAAAGCAGUUCAGCAUAGCAGCUAACAGAGGAAUACCUACUUGUACAAAUACCUGACACAGAGAACAGGCGUCCCCUAGCUGUAGAAGUACAGCACCAAUAAGGGAUACAAUCUGAUGAAAGCUCGAGCCUAUGUCCAACAGAUAGGUAGGGUCAGCAGCUUCCUAGGUGAUGCUUCAACCAUUCCUACUGGAUUGAAGAAUGGACUUCUUAAUAUUAAGAACUAAUAUGUGACGAGAGAAAUGAAUGAGGUCUUACCAGUGCGGGGCUGAGUGUGCACAGAAAGGCAACAUCAGACAAAGGGAACAUCUUGUUCCCUGUUGCUGUACCCAGCCAGCUGCAGCGCUGGCCUUUCUCUGUUGCAUGUGCUAAUACAGAUCUCACGCUGCACAGCCCACACAUUCAUCCCCCAGGUGGAUCCUGGAGGCUGACCGUACUUUGGGAACAGGGCUGGGGAAUUUUCCUUCUCUUGAAGCUGGUGAGUCAGCAAAAUCCGCUGGUGGGAUGAUGUGCAAAUUGCGCUGCCUCCACAAGACCCGAUGAUACGGAUAUAAAUGGAAGCUUCGAGAUGCUCUUGUGACACCGCACGUUUCUCUCCAGCUGCUGCAGGAGGCGGAUGGGGUAACUCACCCACAUGAAUGCAGGUCCCACAGCCUCUGUUUAAACAAGAACAAGGACUUGGCCUUAUUACCAAGCUCUGCCACAGGCUGCUGAGGAGCACGGCCCCUUUUCUGAGGUGAACUUGCAGUGCUCCUUCAGCAGGAGCAGAGCUGACCUGCCUUUUUCACAUCAGCCUCUGGCUGCUGCUCUUAAUGCUGCCCACUUAUCUGUGUGUUUUGAGCAGGGUCCUACAGUGCAGAACCUCCUGUCUCAGCUGCAGUUUAUUGCCAGCAAGCUGUCCGUCAUAGACAGCCAUUAGAUUUGCUCCCUGUUUAUUUUGCAGCUUUGUUUCGGGGGCUAAAUGAGCUGCAGCAGGCACAGGUGAAGGUGCUGAGGAAAGGGAUUGGCCUGUGGUGGGGAAUGUCUAAAGGGCAGAUGUGUGAGGUCAGGGAUGAUACAUGGUGCUCCAAACACUUUUGCUGUAGAGCACUUAAACUGUUGCAGGUGAAUUGUUGUAGUAAAACAUCUUAAAGUCCUGCAGAGUAAAGGGGAGCAGGAGUGGCUGCCUGCUUUGUUCUGCAGGCCUGGCCUGGGGCUUUUCCUGAGGCUUUUUCCUCACUGAAGCUGUGAAGCCAACUUGCUUUCUCCUCUACCAAACGCUUUUCUCAGCUCUCUCCCCCCACUGCGGAGGUGGGUGUGGGUUUAAUCUUACCCAAUUAAAUUCACCUCGGUGUAAAAACGGGGCUAUUUCUGCCCUCUGUGCCAUGUUUGAUGCAAUGUGUCUGUAAUGGCUGAGAGCUGUGGGAGCUGUGGGUGUGGGCCCACCCCACACUGCUGUAGGGCCGGGGUGUCACAGGGAGGUGAGGAGGGGGAAGAUGAAGCUGUUUAUCUCAGCAUCUCUUACCCCAUAGCCUCAUAUGUGAGUACUUAGCAACGCACUGAGCUGCUCCAGGUUCUCUCUGUUGCAGGCAAUACUGCUUGCAGUUUGCUUGGGGGACUGGUUAAGCUUGCAGAUGGGAACUUCAAAAUGAUUAAAAAUAGUAAGUUUGGUCUUUGCAAAACUAAACUUCAGCUGCCUGUAGCUGAAGAAAUGAGCCUCAUUUUUCUCAUGGUCAAGCUAGAGGUGUUAAUGAGGUGCUUUCCUCCAUCAUGGUAGGAGUGAAUUACACUAAUUGUUAAACCUGGGUGUCCAAGUUGCUGCCUUCUGGUGCUGGUGCAGCAAUGCUGGGUUAUUUGGUGACAGCGCUGCGGGCUGAAACCAGCCUAUAAAUAAGGAAGAGCCAUGGCUGCAGAUAAGCACUGGGCGCUGCGCUCAGCUCUGACAGCUUUGGCCCAGAGGUUGAGAGCAGAGCUCAGAGCAACGCUACCAUAGUAGGAAGCAGCCCAGCAGAGUAGUUCAGCCCCAUGUAUCAGCACAGCACCCAGCAUCAUAUAGCGGAGCUGAGCGGUGGAAUUCAGCUUUAAGUAUUUUUAAACCUCGUGCUGUUGUUUUUGAAGGGUCUCAGCCGUCACCUAAUUUGGGUAACACUGUCUGCAGGCACCGUGCUGGUAUCGCAGCCCAGAGUUUAAGAGGCAUUACAUUUAAUUUAAAACACAUUACUCGCUUUUGAAGUUGCUUAUUUAGAGAGGCUCUGCUUGUACCCUCACUCCCCUCCUCUCACUCCAAACAAAACUUCAUUUAUGAGAUUUAGAGCGGAGCAUCAGAGGACACUUGGCAGACGUAGCUUUUAUCCCUUGAGUGCUUUAGUCUCCUUUAGUCUCACUUGAUGCUUAAGGAGGGCUGGAGCCUGCGGCUGCGUGCAGGUCUCAGGGACAGACAGAGCCCCAGUGCAGGCAAGGAGCACACAGCUGGUUCAUCACUGACAAAACCAAGCAGCUACAAAGGCCUGAAAGGGUUUAAAAAACAGAAAAGGACAGAAAAAAAAAUAAUGAAAGUGUAAUUGGGCAAGAAAUGUUUAUUUUAAGUUCACCGGAGGGAUUUACAAACAAUGGAGCAUUAAAAAAACAAAACCUCGAGUGACCAAACUACUUGACAGUGUCCCUUAAACACACACACAAACCCCUGCGCGGAGGAAUCACAGCAGCGAGGAGGUCGUAGUGCUGGAAGAGCAGCCGGCGUCUGCAUAGUUCUAGAAGGAAGGAAAGAGUGCAGUAAUGCAGUGCUGGGUGUGAGCGUGUGCUGCCUGGCAUUAAGGGCAGGACAGGCUGAAGGACACACUCAGGUACCUGCAGGAAACAAAGUGCAUCAAAUGACACGCCAGGGAUGUAUUGUAGAAUAGAUUUAUUUACCUGAUACAAAUGAAACUAGGUGUGAUGCUUCUUACUGUCAGCAUGGAAGUAGAGAACCGAUCUUAUUUACAGCUUCUAGAGGUCAUUACAUGCAGUUGUAACUGGCCAAGCCGUUUGCUGCCGUCUCGAUGGACGCAUGAUGCUGUUUUGUAUCGCACCAACAUCUGUCUCACUGCCUUAGACUUCAAUAAGUUACAUUAUUACAGUGCAAAACAGGUCGAUUUGCACACAUGAUAAUAAAAAAACACAACCCAAAGUGAUGGACUGGAGGCUUUGCAGUUGGACAUUCAGCCGUAGUCUUGUCUGUGGAUUCAUAGCUAGGAUGGCGUUGUACAUGAGCUGUUAGAGCGGCACGUCCGGAUGAUACGAUACAGAUUUGUCUACAACCCAAGGCAUGCAUUAAUUCAAUAUUGUACACUUUAUAAACUGACAUUUUACAUACAGGAAAUAUGGAAAACAGGCUGACAGCUCAGCGCUUCUUAUCCGGGGAUCAACGAGUUCUUCUCCAUGCAGCACAGAACCCAAAACUUCUCUGAGAGUCCCCAACUGGGUCAGCUCUAUUGAACCUCUGUACAUCUCAAGUCCUACCGGCAGCACACGUUUCUUCCACAGAGAACACCAUGAGCUUUGUUUGGAGGGGAAGCAAAGAAUCUUUACACAUGAUACAUGCAGCACUUUGGGGAGAUGUGUUGCUAAAAACACAUGCACGCAACAAAGGGAGGAAAAAAAAAACAAAAAACCAACAACCUCACAUUUCUGCAAAAUUGUUUAGGAAGUGAUUACUCCAGUAUUGCUGAAAAGGAAAGAAAGAAAAGGUAUCAGUUAAUGAAAGGAUGAAUGCAAAGCACCGUUCUAAAAGCAAGACUUAAGAUCAACAGUGACAGAAGAAAGGAUGUUAGGCCUGAUAACCAACUGCUCUGCCAUUGAAGGGACGCUCUCGGGUUACUUUGUUCUGAAUGCUGGGGCACUCCAAGCACCUCUCAGCUCUCCUGCUGAGCUGCCUUCACCAUCAGCGCUCCCUGCCAAAGGCUGCAGAGGAGCAUUUCCCCCCCCCUAAUUGAGACCUUACAUUGCAAAUUUGGCCCAGGACUGACCUAACAAUGCCCCUCUUUCAGGUUUUGCAGCUCUUUCUGUGAAGCAUUAGAAAGCUUUAAGAAGCCUAAACUAUGCAGACUGAUGCUCCCAGCAUUACCCAGCGCACAGCACCAGGCCGGCCUUGUGUCAGGAGGAAGGGAGCAUCUCUGCCUGCCUGCACCUCAAUGGCGGCCCUUCAAAUUUAGGUUCUCCCGCUCAGGUUUGAGAAUGCACGAUAUUAAUGUAAUUAAGGAUGUAAUUAGCAGAGAUUAGGGAAACGGUUAAUGGUUAGAAGUGCAAAAAAGGUAAACAAGACAGGUGCAAAAGACAGACAGCUUCGGAUCAGUUUGACCUCCCUUCAUCUCAGCGAAUUCAACCAUCUUUAAGCAGUGACCAGAUACAUUCUGUGCUCUCAGAGCAGUGACAGGGGCUGCUGUACUGCAUUUUAUCAUCAGAUUCAAAACUCCUUUCCUUACCCUUAGCUUUGCCCACAAGGACCCCUCUACAACCACGAGCUUCACAGCACCGACAGACUGCUGUAUAUUUUUCUGCAGCUUUUUCUUUCAAUACUGAUUCUUUUUUGUUGCUGCAAUAAUGCUUUGGGGGAAAAACCAUGAACUAAUUUCAGUGCCUGGGCAACAAAAAGGCACAGCUGGUUGUGGAGCUCAGGACUGGGACUUGGAAUCACUCACAUGUGAAAGCUGAGAGAGCCCGGGGCACCGGGAAGAUAAAAGCUUUUGUCUCCAUGCUGCCAACACAUGAUGGCAGCUGCCUGACCAUCAUCUCUGCUCUGAGCUGGACCAGCCCACAGAGCACUGAGCUCAGGAGGAGCUGCCAACAGCAAAACCUCACUGCUGCCCCAGCACAGACCUGCAGCCUCGGUGUACAGUGCACCAUCAGUCACAAUGGACGCUCAUCUCAGCCCCCUCCUCAAUAAAAACCAAGCAGGAGCACUAAGGAUGCUACAGAACACAGAAGACUGCAGAGAUGAAGCAGCUCGGUGAGAUGAGAGCAAAGGGAAAACAAAAGGUAGGAAGUUACCUUCUAAAAAUAGAGCAAGAUAAAAGAGAGAUCUUUGUUUCUUCUGCCUACAUAAGAGCUGCUGUUAGCAGGCUCACAGGGCGAACACUGCAACAGGAGCUCCACUCCUGUCCCCACGUGACCCCAGUGCAGGGAGGAGGCCAGAAAUACAGGACAAGGAGAUUAAGCAAAAGCUUCAACUUCAAGAUGCUGCCUACUAAAUCCACGUCAACCUGGCACCCAUCUUAUGGGAGCGACCCUGGGAAAGCAGAAGUACUGACAGCAAAGUGUUAAUGCCACUGAACGGCAUGAAGUGCUGAUCACAGGGAGCCCUACUGCCUCAUUUCAACAAGGAAAUCCUAAGAGAACCACAAAAAGCACAAGAAAAAACAGGUAGAUGAAGACAGCCCAAAGCAUCCAGGAACAGUCCAACAAAACCAGGCUCCUGAUGCUGCAGGUGCCAUCAGAGGAUUAAUGCCACGUUCACCCACCAGCUGUCCAGCUCUCUAAGGUAAAAUCCAAGCAACAGAAGGUGAGAUACCCCGAGUUAAUUGCUAUCAGAGCUCACAGCAAGGUUUGUCUUCAGCACACACAGCUGAGCGUGUCAGACAGAUCCAGCAGAAGGUGCUGAAAGACUAAAUUCAAUGUAUCCCCUCAUUUUCCCCUUCAGCUUCUUAGAGACAGGAAGCAAGGGGUUAGGUAGCAGAAUUACUUGGCAUCACAGACAGGAGAAAGACCGAAGACAAGAAGAACUGAGAAGUACUGCCACGUACACGGCUUGGAAAAGCCAACCAAUGGAGGUGGCUCUGGAGGCUUACACAGAACCUGAGCUCAGGAGUGUGGCCAAAGUGCUGGGAACACACCUGUGGGUGGUUCAUUCCAAUAACGACAACACCUGUGAUUCAAGAUGCCUUCAGACCAAACCAGAUCCAUGAGACCUGGUAGUUUCCUGUUUCAGGAAACAGGCGAGCCUUAACAUUGCUCAUUCAAUAUUGAUACAGCACCUGGCUGCUGCUGGCCAUCGGCCUUAUGGUAUAACACAACACCCAGCCUGGCAGACAGGUUUCUGCCACGCUGAAGAGAUCAUUCAAGGGAGGUCAGUGCUUGCAGCCCUGCACAACACCUGUUCUAUCAGGUCCGUAUCCCCAAAUCACUUCAGCAUCAGUGAAAGGAAGUCAGCAUUCCUACAGACAGUGAGCACUCACAAUGCAGAGGGAUUUCAAAGGGUUCUGUGUAUUUUGGGGUUAGAGUGUGUAUUUGAAGACCGAAACCUACAGGAUUAGCUGUGCUCGCUGGAUUCCAGCUGGCACCAGCAGAACGUUGCUUUUAACAACCAUUUUCCUCUGUGAGGAAUAAGAAAGCUGUUUGAAUUGGAUUAUUAAAGUCAAGCCAACACAAGAUAACACAGCACCUGCUACUCCACCAAAGCACAUUGACCCCUGUACAAUUUUCAAAGCCUUCUCUGUUAAGCCAAGCUUGUUCUUCUGUCUUUCCAAUGACCACAAUUCAAAGCGUUUCCAAGCUCUGGAAACAGACAGUUUUUGCAAAGAGGAGCACCUGCACAUACAGCACUGGGAUUAGCAAUUAGAGGAGAUGGGCCAGGCUGCUCUGAGGGGAUUCCCACAUUUCAGAGCAGGAAAGAGCUUAAGGAUAAGCCAGUGCUUGACCACCAGGGGUUCUGGACACUAAAAACAUCAUAUAAACAGCUGUCACUGCCUUCAGUAAGAGCUUUAUCCAAUUUUAUCUCCACCUCAAGAGCAGAAGCUAAGAUCACAGAGGAACCGAGUGCUACAGAAUAAGAUCUAAAACAGCCAAACAAAAGCAAACUCUUUACCUUCAGAAUCAAUAACUGGAGCUUCGUACCAUAAGGCAAGAGUCUAAAGUGGUGAUAAUAAUGUAGCACAGCAGAAUUUGACAAAACACAGCAUGGGAAUGAGGGAAAUUACUAUUUAUUCUUCAACAUGAAUACAGCAUACGCUAUUUUACAGCAAGUCACCACUGGCAUGGUGAAAUGGAAGAGAAAUACUCACUUUAGUCGAUGAAAGUUGGAAGGCAUUGGAGAAAAACACCACAGUUAGGACUGUUAAUGACUUACACGUUGUUGAUACAGGACUGAAUUUGAAAACAUGCUUUAACAUUUACCGUAAUAAUGAAGGUGGUUAGUGCCACAUCAAAAUAAAAAUAGUUCUAUACAAUAUGUUCAAUUUGGUCAUGUGCUAUUUACACAUUUUACAAACAACACACACGAGCUUGUCACUUCAACUCAGGCUAACAACAGGCCAGCAGAGCAACUCCGUGUAUACACCGUAUCAUUAGUGCCCUAAGUGCGGUCAAUCCCACUUCUAGCUACGCAGUGCAACUUAUUAUUCCAGGUCUUAUUACAAGUUUUGAUCUUAAAAAUGGCGGGGGAGAAACAAUCUGACACGUAAGGUAUUAAAAAAACAAACAAAAAAAAUCAAUGGCAACCCUCUUUUGGAAAUAAAACAGAUUGGGUCGGUUAAAAAGGCUUGGUUUAGGUUUGAGUCGACCUCCCUAACCCUGCAUCAUGGGCAACGCUGGCAAAACAAGGUCUGUUACAAUAAAAAUACAAUAGACAAAUAAAUAAUCUCUUUAAAAAAAAA